ensembl:snoRNA
CCUCCUUUUCUUGGCGGGGAUCGGGCUUGUGGUACCGCUCCCCGUAAUGUGCGGAGGAAGAGGAAAAGGGCUCUGGCCCCCUCGGCGUCAUGUCUUCGGUGCCGGCGGCUUCCCAUCCGCUGGUUCUAUCCUCAAGCGCCGGGACACCG